AUACGUAGGGGGCGAGCGUCGUCCGGAAUUACUGGGCGUAAAGGGCGUGUAGGCGGUCUAUUAAGUCAGGCGUGAAAACCCUGGGCUUAACCUGGGGACUGCGUUUGAAACUGGUAGGCUUGAGGGCAGGAGAGGAAAGUGGAAUUCCCGGUGUAGCGGUGAUAUGCGUAGAUAUCGGGAGGAACACCAGUGGCGAAGGCGGCUUUCUGGACUGCACCUGACGCUGAGGCGCGAAAGCCAGGGGAGCGAACGGGAUUAGAUACCCCGGUAGUCCUGGCCGUAAACGAGGGGUACUAGGUGUGGGAGGUAUCGACUCCUUCCGUGCCGGAGUUAACACAAUAAGUACCCCGCCUGGGGAGUACGGCCGCAAGGCUGAA
rnacentral:rRNA from 1 species